rnacentral:lncRNA from 1 species
UGGUUAGAGAUUUUAUAGAGACAAAAUCAUAAUUUGAGGAGCUAAGUUUUACCUAUUCCAUUGGAUAAUUCUAUUGCACCAAUUUGGUAGAAAAGAAUUAUCCAGAUAUGUCCACAUGUUGAAUCUACAUGAAUAAGACUAUUCUAUUUUAUUCUUUGGGCCAUUUGACAGAAUGAGCCCCUGUUAUGGGGAUAUCGCUUAUAUA